CAGGCCCAACCUCGCGAGAGUUGGAGCUGGAGUGCCCAGACCAACUUGUAGCGGUGGGACUUGCUCUGGUAACGUCUGCUAGCUGCGGUACUGAGACUUAGUGGCAGACGUCCUGUUUCCUUUUAAUGACAUUGAGCUUCUACCUGUGUGAGGAUCACUGGCAGACACUACAGUGAUUGGAAACGACUUGCUGAUCGAACCUGGGGCCUGGCAGUUAAAGCACUGAGUCCUAAUCACCGACCCACCAGGGAAUUUCCCAUACCUGGUUUGCAGUACUUGCUUUUCCUCUUGACAGCAGUCCUUGAACAUAUUAACAUCUUUGAGCCUCAAUUUCCUUACCUGUAAAAUACCAAUAGCAUCAACUACAUGAAACAAUUAUGAAGAUUAAAUUAGAGUAUAUUAUAAAACAUCUAAAACUGUGGCACACGCAUUUGAUCAAAUCCAACAUGCUAUUUUCUGUACUACUAAGAAAGAAAAUAACUAAGAAAACCAUGAUUG